rnacentral:rRNA from 1 species
AGAGUUUGAUCAUGGCUCAGAUUGAACGCUGGCGGCAUGCCUAACACAUGCAAGUCGAACGGAAACGAUGCUAGCUUGCUAGCAGGCGUCGAGUGGCGGACGGGUGAGUAAUAUAUAGGGAUCUGCCUAAUAGUGGGGGACAACGUGUGGAAACGCACGCUAAUACCGCAUACGCUCUACGGAGGAAAGUGGGGGAUCUUCGGACCUCAUGCUAUUAGAUGAACCUAUAUCGGAUUAGCUUGUUGGUGAGGUAAUGGCUAACCAAGGCGACGAUCCGUAGCUGGUUUGAGAGAAUGAUCAGCCACACUGGGACUGAGACACGACCCAGACUCCUACGGGAGGCAGCAGUGGGGAAUAUUGCACAAUGGGCGAAAGUCUGAUGCAGCAAUGCCGCGUGUGUGAAGAAGGCCUUCGGGUUGUAAAGCACUUUCAGAUGUGAGGAAAAGCAGUCUAUUAAUACUAGAUUGCCGUGACGUUAACAUCAGAAGAAGGACCGGCUAACUCCGUGCCAGCAGCCGCGGUAAUACGGAGGGUCCAAGCGUUAAUCGGAUUUACUGGGCGUAAAGCGCGCGUAGGCGGAUAAUUAAGUCAGAUGUGAAAUCCCUGGGCUCAACCUAGGAACUGCAUUUGAUACUGGUUAUCUAGAGUAUGGUAGAGGUGAGUGGAAUUUCAGGUGUAGCGGUGAAAUGCGUAGAGAUCUGAAGGAACAUCAGUGGCGAAAGGCGACUCACUGGGCCAUUACUGACGCUGAGGUGCGAAAGCGUGGGUAGCAAACAGGAUUAGAUACCCUGAUAGUCCACGCCCUAAACGAUGUCAACUAGGUGUGUGAGAGUCUAACUCUUGCGUAUCGAAGCUAACGCGAUAAGUUGACCGCCUGGGAGUACGGUCGCAAGACUAAAACUCAAAUGAAUUGACGGGGGCCCGCA